GAGUUAAUUGUGUGAAUGGGAAAUUUGACUAUCCGCAUUGCAUUCCUAUCUAAGUAAAUGAACAAGAGAACAUAUACAGCAUCUUUAAACCAGAAGAUGAAUGUCUGAAAUCAUAUAUCAUUCUCUUUAAAAUGUUCACAUAAAGCUGGAUUGUAUACAGUUAUAAACAGUGGAUC